rnacentral:tRNA from 1 species
GGUGGUGUGGCUCAGCAGUAGAGUGCCUAUCUAGUAAGUAUGAGACUCUGUGUUCAAAACCCAGGUACUGCUA